rnacentral:rRNA from 1 species
AUUGAACGCUGGCGGCAGGCCUAACACAUGCAAGUCGAACGAGUGGCGGACGGGUGAGUAAUGUCUGGGAAACUGCCCGAUGGAGGGGGAUAACUACUGGAAACGGUAGCUAAUACCGCAUACCAUCGGAUGUGCCCAGAUGGGAUUAGCUAGUAGGUGGGGUAAAGGCUCACCUAGGCGACGAUCCCUAGCUGGUCUGAGAGGAUGACCAGCCACACUGGGACUGAGACACGGUCCAGACUCCUACGGGAGGCAGCAGUGGGGAAUAUUGCACAAUGGGCGCAAGCCUGAUGCAGCCAUGCCGCGUGUAUGAAGAAGGCCUUAGGGUUGUAAAGUACUUUCAGCGAGGAGGCGUUACUCGCAGAAGAAGCACCGGCUAACUCCGUGCCAGCAGCCGCGGUAAUUC